rfam:Saprolegnia diclina VS20 unplaced genomic scaffold supercont1.41, whole genome shotgun sequence.
ACACUGGUGUUUUUCAACACCACCCAACACACAAGAAACGAGUUG